GGAUUAGAUACCCUGGUAGUCCACGCUGUAAACGAUGGAUACUAGGUGUGGGGGGUGUCAACUCCCUCCGUGCCGAAGCUAACGCAUUAAGUAUCCCGCCUGGGGAGUACGGCCGCAAGGCUAAAACUCAAAGGAAUUGACGGGGGCCCGCACAAGCAGCGGAGCAUGUGGUUUAAUUCGACGCAACGCGAAGAACCUUACCUGGGCUUGACAUGUUCUUGAUCGGCGUGGAAACACGUCUUCCCUCACGGGCAAGAUCACAGGUGGUGCAUGGCUGUCGUCAGCUCGUGCCG
rnacentral:rRNA from 1 species